UCGAGAGGCUUCGGCAAUGGGGGAAACCCUGACCGAGCGACGCCGCGUGGAGGAUGAAGGCCCUUGGGUUGUAAACUCCUUUUGUUGGGGAAGAAAUGCGAUCAGGUGAACAAUCUGGUCGUUUGACGGUACCCGACGAAUAAGCUCCGGCUAACUCCGUGCCAGCAGCCGCGGUAACACGGGGGGAGCAAGCGUUGUUCGGAAUCACUGGGCGUAAAGGGCGUGUAGGCGGUCAAGUAAGUGGAAUGUGAAAGCCCCCGGCUUACCCGGGGAUCUGCAUCCCAAACUGCUUGGCUUGAGUAUGGGAGAGGAUGGAGGAAUUCCUGGUGUAGCGGUGAAAUGCGUAGAUAUCAGGAGGAACACCGGUGGCGAAGGCGUCCAUCUGGCCCAAUACUGACGCUGAGGCGCGAAAGCUAGGGGAGCGAACGG
rnacentral:rRNA from 1 species